GCACACACACACAGGACGAGCUAAAGCAGCGCAUUUGGCAGGCCAAAGUUACAAAGGUUUUUGUACUUCUUCAAGAAUUAACAAAGUGACGUUGCAGUACAAUUACAACAAAUGCCGGAUUUUCAAGACGGUUACUCCUGAAAGAUGGUGCAGCUGCCAUUUUGUUGGGACAAUCUGGCACUUCAGGAUCACAACCUAAAAGUGGAUGCGAGUCCCUCCAUAUGCGAUAUGCACUUAGUAUGCGAGUCGCCAAUAAACCAAAAGAAGAAGAAGAAUCACGCGCAUCUGGUCUGUUCACUCAUGAUAAAUUAUUAUAAUCAGAUAAUGCACAUUAGAUGAAAUUACUCUGACGUCACACCACAGGAAACCGCACUUCUGGGUUCUAUUGAGCAGAAGAUUUCAA